AAGACUAUAGACCUGCGGAGUACCUGCGGAAGGAUCAUUACCGAGUUUACAACUCCCAAACCCCUGUGAACGUUACCUGUCGUUGCUUCGGCGGACACGCCCCGGCGCCCCCGUGCCCGGACCCAGGCGCCCGCCGGAGGCCCGAAAACCAUGAAUCUUUUACAGCUGAAUACUCUGAGUGGCACAAGCAAAAUAAAUCAAAACUUUUAGCAAUGGAUCUCUAGAUCGGAAGAGCACACG
rnacentral:misc_RNA from 1 species